CCCUUAGAUGUCCUGGGCUGCACGCGCGCUACACUGAUGUGUCCAGUAAGCACCUAACCUCUUCCGAAAGGAACGGGUAACCUUUGCAAAGCACAUCGUGAUGGGGAUAGAUUAUUGCAAUUAUUAGUCUUGAACGAGGAAUUCCUAGUAAGCACAAGUCAUCAGCUUGUGUUGAUUACGUCCCUGCCCUUUGUACACACCGCCCGUCGCUCCUACCGAUUGAAUGGUCCGGUGAAGCGUUCGGACCGUGGCCUUUGGACGGUUCGCCGUCUGUUGGCUGCGGGAAGUUCGUUAAACCUUAUCAUUUAGAGGAAGGAGAAGUCGUAACA
rnacentral:rRNA from 1 species